AUACGGAGGAUCCGAGCGUUAUCCGGAUUUAUUGGGUUUAAAGGGUGCGCAGGCGGCCAUUUAAGUCAGCGGUUAAAUCGCGGGGCUCAACCCCAUUCUGCCGUUGAUACUGGGUGGCUUGAUUGCGGUCGAGGUUGGCGGAAUUCGUUGUGUAGCGGUGAAAUGCAUAGAUAUGACGAAGAACACCGAUUGCGUAGGCAGCUGACCAGACCGCAAAUGACGCUCAUGCACGAAAGUGCGGGGAUCGAACAGGAUUAGAUACCCUGGUAGUCCGCACAGUAAACGAUGAAUACUUGUUUUCGGCGAUAUAAUGUCGGAGGCAAAGCGAAAGCGAUAAGUAUUCCACCUGGGGAGUACGCCGGCAACGGUGAAACUCAAAUGAAUUGACGGGG
rnacentral:rRNA from 1 species